AGGUACUUCAGCAUGUGGUGAGGUGCAUAAAUCAGAUGCAAAUGCUGGUGCUAGCUCCCGAAGCUGUGGGGACAGCAUUACUACCUCUGCUUUGACAGUGCCAGCAGAUCAUAUACUUCGGGAAUGAGACGGAUGCUCUAAUCAAACAAAUUACCUAGCCCGUGAUCACAGCCGCUGAGCCAGAGACAGUUCUGCAGAUGCUUGUCUGGAGCCCUCCAAGACCCUUCGACCGUGCAGCUCUGCUUAAAAGAAAGGGCUCGUGUUUUCCACCAAAGCUUCUUUUGGAAACAGGCUCGAAGAGCUGCCGAACUGAGGCUGCGAUGAUGUGCGAAUAAUACUUAUCAUCAAUAUGGAGCCAGCCAGCGAAGGAGGGGAUUGCAAAACUGGGGCAGACUCACCUGUUGGAUGUGCCAGGAUGGGCAGCCAGGAGUUUCGCAGUCAGAGACCUCAAAAGCAAUCCUCUCAGACGUCACUCUAUAUAUUUCACUGGAAGUGAAAGAGAACAAAACAAAUAAAGACACAACUAGGCUCUUCCUCCAUGUUGGUACUUUCUUCAGCCUUUCUACUGAGGAUUUCCAACUGCAUUUGUUGUCGUACAGUAAGGGCCCUGAAUGAAUUUAUUGAUGGUAGCUGGAAAAAAGGGAAAGAAAGGAAUGAAAUCCCUUGAGACAGAAGGUAUGUCAUGAACUUCCCCAAGUUAUUUGCAAAUGUUUCUGCCAGUAUCAAUAAAUCCCUCAAAUUUCAGGAUAGGCUCCAUUAAUUACAGGAUGGCAUUAUGUAUUUAAAGGUUGUUGAAAGUUAUAUCUGCGAUCAGUUAUGUUUGAACUGCAUGUUCACGUAAAAUAUUUGUUGUUUUAAUACGUAGGCAUGCACAUGAGCAGCAAUAGCAUCCGUGGUGUUUUAAUAGGCUUUUAUUAGUUCGUACUCUCCUUGUAAUCUUGUUUUACAGUAUGUGCAUUCAAUGUGUUUGUGUCUAUGCUCUUCAUGCACACAUCGCAGGAUGCCAAAACAUCCUUCUGCUUCCUUUUUUCCAACCACUUAGUCAGGCACUUGAACGCUUUCCAAAUCUUGUUAAAAAACAGAAAUAGUGCUAUCACUUCUUUUUGUUGGAGUGCAUGGAAAGGGAUGGAUGGAGAGGGCGAUGGAAGGGUAGAGGAGGAAGCUGGAUGGCUGGGAGGUGGGGGAUCUUCAUGGGUGAGCUCGGAAGAGCCUCGGUGCUGUGAUGCCCUGACCUGAUCUGGGCUUACUGCUCGCUGUGAAAUGCAGGGCUUUUGGGUCACUUGCUGGAUGGAAAAGCACUGCAAAGAUGCUCCUUGUACAUUAUCUCCAAUUUAAAAUGGUUAUGAAGCAAAAAUUCCCUGCCUCAAAAUCACAAGCCAUUUGGCUGAGCUGACAUGGAUUAGUUGUGUUUAUAUUUUAAACUAUCCCCUGCUCUUUUUUUUUUCCCCCAGGAAAAUGUCAUGUAACGUUUAAAUGGGGUUCUUUUCCCAAGUAAAAUAGAUUUAAAAAAUCAACUUUAUUUUAUUCCCUAUUUUUUCCGGAAGCUAAACUAACUAGACAGGCUCAACCUAGAUUCAAGAAAUGCUUCGAAUGUGUGUUUCUGGUGAGUUAAAAAUUGCUCCAGAGACUGUUUGAAGUGUUUCAGUCAGGUGCAGACCUGCUGGGUACCACUGGCAUCAUGUCGUGCUGGUGGUCCUGGGACACCCUGGUAGACGCAGUGGUUUACCUCUGUUUUCUGAUUCAAAUAAAUGUUUACUGGUGUGCAUCUCUUAGACAAGGAAGCAUCAAUUUUGGCUGGAGCCUGGAAGCUGUGCUGUAAAGGGGGGAAAAAAAAAAAGAGCAGUAUUAAUGAGUAUUAAUUAACUAGAUGCUAUGACCACAGGGAGUGGGAAAGGGUGUUUUCCCUUUGAUUGCUCUUGUAGAUGUGGCUUCUCUAAUGUCUACAGGCGGUUGAGUUCAUCCCAUUGCCGCGGCAGGAGGUGGCCGUGGCUGCCUUGGUUCCCUGCCUCCAUGAGGAGGUGACGUCCGUCCGGUCUGACCGCAGUCACCCAGUGGGUUUCAAAGCAUGCAUUGAUGCAGGCAUGCGCCCACGUGCCCAUACAUACACGCAGAGCCUGGUGAGAAGCCAGCCCCUAUAGCCUUCAGAAACACAGAUACAAAUAAUGUCGCCUCACUGCUGCGUGUGAGGAAGAUGAGUGCAAGGCUCCCGCUGCCUCCCAAGGGGGGCUGGGAUUUCAGAUUCAGUCGAGGAGCUCACUAAGGUGUCAUGACGCAGCCAUCGCUGGCUGUCUGUGCUGCAUCCCACACUGGUUCAUGGUCAGCAGAAAAGCUGGUCAGAUAGCAUUUAUCAGAUUUUUUUCUUGGCGAGUGCCCCACAAUCUGAGUAAUGUAUUUUACAGGGUUUUUUGCCCAGAUGACAGGCUUAAUAGUGUAAUUAUCAAAAGCAGUCCUUUGAUGGGUCUCAGGAGAAAGUUUGAAGGCAAAUGCCGGGUUUCUCAGCGGAGCAGCAGCACCAGCCACAUCCUGAGGAGCAGCCAGCCACGUGCCAAGACUUCUGCUCAUAGCAUCUCCUCGCAGCCAUGGCCUCCAUGAAACAUCACAGCAGGGAAGAGCUGUCCAAACCCAGAUAGGUAGCAGGAGUGUGUCUCCUCGGAGGGGGGGAAGUUGGUGGUAUGUCAGCCCACGAAGCCUUCUGCCCUGUUACUGGAGCGGGGUAAAAGAGCCACUCCACAGGAAGAAAGAAGCAGGUGAGGAGCUCCUACGGGAUGCUCUGCCCUCCUGGGGACGGCAAGCCUCAGCUCUAGCCCUCGGGAUGCAGAGGUGGUAAGAAACGGUGGCGUAUUUUUCACUUUGUUGAGGGUAUGGCUGGUUUGAGGUCAUGGGUUGGGUCUUCUUGCUCCUCCGAAAGCAAAGGACAUGGGUGAGCCUCCUGCUAUCGGUCUGCGCUUGGUCAGCAAGGAUGGAGGACAGGUUGUGCAGGCUCACAUUAAACUACAUUUUUCAAAUAAGUGGUGUCUUUGUUUGUUUGUGGGUUUUUUUUCAGGAGAAUGACCCUGUUUACUUCAAGGCUGAUGCACUUUUGGAAGUAAUAACGAUGGUGGUGGGGAAAAUACCUCUUUCAUAAGAAAACAUGGUAUGUAAACACACAGCACAGCUCAGGCCACGUCUUCAUUUCACCCAUGAGAAGUUUGUGCAAGUGCAGAAAAGUCUGGGUUUUUCUCCUGCCCCCCAAAGAAACAUAAUCCAGAGUUUAUAUCGGAUGGUUUAUGGGAGUUUAUUGGAAUAUCCAACAGGGUUCAUGUAGUGUGUCAUAAGGUAAAGCCUGUUCAUUGGUGAUUUACAAGCAGUGUGUGCCGGUGUUACUGUAAUUUAUAGACCACAGAUGGUCAGGGGGUGCCCCUGCUGACUUGUAGCUGAAUAAGAAGCUGAGCCCUGCAUGUCAUCUGCUGCGGGUACCUCCGGCUCACUUCCCCAAAUUAGUGCUGAUCAAGACCUACCUUCCCACCCGGAGGGUCCCGAGACCUCUGCCUUACAAGCGGGGGCUGUUUCAGUAGGGGAGAGGCUACAGAUGAUUAAGGCUGGGGGGGGAGGAAAAGCCAAGCCUAUCGGAAUGGCACCCAAGGAAAAUUGCUUUUUACGAUAAUAACUUCCCUUCUCAAGGCUGGUACUUCACUUGAUGGGUUUUUGUCACCUGUUAAAUGGAGAAGGAAGAAUGUCAAUCCCUCCUUUCAUACACGGGUCUAAGACAAACAUCUCCUCUACAAAAAUUUAUAUAUAUUCGUAAAUCUCCCUUGUAAAGACCUCUAGCAUAGAUCCUGUCUUUGUUCUCAUCAUUUUACCCUUUUAGGUAAUUACUCUUUAACUGUAUUUUACUACGACUUCCUUUCCGGCAUCAAGUUUACCGAUGUCUUUGCUUCUUUAAACCUUAUUAAAUAAUUGUCUCUUUAUUCCAGCAGCUCUUUCUGAUCCCCCAGGAAUGUGCUCCUGGUGGAUGCACAAGGCAGAGGGAGGACAGGGAUAGCAGCACGUCUCACCCAAAUUUUGGGGAGAUUUUUUUAAAUUUUUUUUUGGCCAGGGGAUCGGGCCCCUUUUGGCUUUGAAUUUCUCUGGUUGACAAGGUUCGUCACACCGCCUCAUCUUUCUCCCGGGCGUGUUUUUGUCUUGCUGCGUGUGGCCUUGUCCUGCCCACGGAAAUCUCACGGUGGCCCCUGGCAGGAUCUGCAGCCUUCGCAGGGACAUGCUGGAUCCAGGGACGCCUGGCGCUCUGCUCGCCCACUGCAGCAAGGUCAUGCAUUUUAACAAGGCACUGCCGAUCCCCUUUUUAAAGGGCAUUGCUUAUGUUCUGUUAAAAUGGGCUUUGAACUCAGCUGACCCUUCACCAGUAGGACAUUUCAGGACUUUUUUCUGCCUGGACCACACUUGACACCUGUUGGCAAACACAGCUGUAAAUGCUGCUGCGAGAAACCUGCGUCCAAGCUCAGAACUUGACUUUUCCCCCCCGCCCCCCCCGCCCCCCAAGAGUAAAGAUGUAAGAGAAUUUGGUGGCUUCUUUAGUUAAUAAAAAGAAAAAAAAAAACCAACUUUGUUUUUCCUUAUCAAGAUGGGUGGAAAAAAAAACACCCUAUAGACAAAAGAAGCAGAAGGAGAGCUGUAAUGGAAAUAAAAUUGACAGCCUCUCAAAACUCAGGUGGCACUUUCCUUUUCCAGUUAAUUACAGUUUUAAUUACAUGGCUUCUUGUGACUCCUUGAUACCUAAUAAACUAGACUCUGUGGGGCGGCAAAGUUGAGUUUUGCUUGAACUGCAGGUGUAAGGCUCAGCAUGAAACAUAAAUCAACUUCUUAAACAUGUUCCCAGGGUGUGUUCAGGCUUUUUCUUCCUAUUCGCUUGUAAAAAUCACAUCUUUUCACCAUUGUUGGGUAGGGGAGAAAAAAAAAAGGUCUGAAGCUACAAUGCAGUGAGUAUUACAUUUGUGUCUUUGGAUAUAAAAAACCCCUUUUAGAAGGGGGGGGGCGGGAAAGGCACUUUUUAAACCUCAGAUUGGAUGAAUUUUAAAGCAGUGUUGCAUUAUCCAUAUAGACCCUCUGUCAUUAUCAUUUUUUUGGUGGGGGUCACAUAACGUAGAAGAGGAAAGUACAUUGGCAGCGUGAAAACAAGGGGAGAUGGGUAUGUGGAAAAUAAAGGGACAUUCAGCCCACAGGAGCUGCCUCUUUCGAACGUUUUCAAAACAGAGCAUGCCUGUUCGUUCUUUGUGUGUUGUGCGAUGGAGAUGUGGGCUCCAGUCAGGUUCAAGCAUAGUGCUAUGUGUUACCGAUGAGUGGGGAAACACGCUGAUGAGCUGUUGCAGGGAAAAGCUGGAGGAAAAUAUGGUCGAGAAGUUCCCGUUGGUUUCAAGCCCAGGACAUGUGAUGGGGCCACGAGCCAGCAGCAGGGAGCUCUGUCACGACCAAACACUGUGACGGUCAGAGGGGAUUUCACUGGAAGAUCCCCCUUCUUCCCUCUUCCUGAAACCAAAAAAAAUUGGAGGGAGAAAAAAAAAAAAAAAAGGGAAGGAGAAAAGAGGAGACCUUCACACAUGGCAUUUGGAUGUUGGUGCAAAACAUGAGUAACAAGGUCCAUGUGUGGGACAUGAGUGUAUCAACAAGUUCUUCUCAACCUGUGAGACACAACCUUGGACUUUUUUUUUAUUGUCUUCUUAUUAGUUUUAUCUUCAGCUUGUGAUUUGUAAGCUGAAGUACUGGUUUUAUACAAGUGCAAAAAAAGGGUAUUCAUCGUGAGUGGAAGGGACAUAGCUGCCUGGUGAGCAGCUUUCCAUGCCCAGUAGGGGCAAAGUGGAAGAAAUUGCAGUGUCCUGCUUGCCUUUCAACAUGAAAGGCCUUUCAACAUGCAGAAGGUGCAGAGAGAAGGCUCCGCUUGGGCUGGACCACACGGCUAGAUGGUCUUUCCUUCAAGCACUUCUGCAGCCCUUGAGCAAAACCCAUCGCUGCUGCCCUCCUGCAAAGAGCCGGCUGGAUCCAUGAAACUAUUGCUCUUCUCCUCGUUACCCCCGCCCCCCC